rnacentral:rRNA from 1 species
GACGAACGCUGGCGGCAUGCCUAAUACAUGCAAGUCGAACGGUAACGCGGGGCAACCUGGCGACGAGUGGCGAACGGGUGAGUAAUGUAUCGGAACGUGCCCAGUUGUGGGGGAUAACUGCUCGAAAGAGCAGCUAAUACCGCAUACGACCUGAGGGUGAAAGCGGGGGAUCGCAAGACCCCGCGCAAUUGGAGCGGCCGAUAUCAGAUUAGGUAGUUGGUGGGGUAAAGGCUCACCAAGCCGACGAUCUGUAGCUGGUCUGAGAGGACGACCAGCCACACUGGGACUGAGACACGGCCCAGACUCCUACGGGAGGCAGCAGUGGGGAAUUUUGGACAAUGGGCGCAAGCCUGAUCCAGCCAUGCCGCGUGCGGGAAGAAGGCCUUCGGGUUGUAAACCGCUUUUGUCAGGGAAGAAAAGGCUCCUGUUAAUACCGGGGGCUCAUGACGGUACCUGAAGAAUAAGCACCGGCUAACUACGUGCCAGCCGCCGCGGUAA